ACUGUACUUUCAAAGUUCGGUUUUGUGUUGUUCCAGCCUUUUCGGCGAAAAAGGUCAGGAGAGCAAUGCGUCAUUUAAUACCUUACCUGCUUUUGUAGACUUCUUCAAGUAGGCAAUUGAUGACUGCAUAUUAUGUAACAGUAAUCACACUGACGAGAGGAUGCAAGGAACCAAUUGCCUCGAAGAAAAAUCCACAAUUUUGAAGAGUAUAAAAGCAAAGGAAGAAAGGCUUAAAGAGUAUGAGAAGGGGAGGGGAGUUGUUUAGUUUUGGAAACAACUUUGCUUGACCUCGGGAACAUACCCACAGGAUUUGUACAAGGCAGUGGAAUAGGCAUGGUGAAAACUGCUUCACCUGGUACCAUGGUUGAUGUGAAAAUGAGGAAGAAGUGUGCCAAAAAUUUUAUAUAUUUGUUUGUUAUUUUGCCAAUGAAAAGUAAAUAUUA